rnacentral:lncRNA from 1 species
UUUUGGUGGUGUUUUUUGGGGUUUUUUUUUUUGUGUGUGUGUGUGAUCUCUAACCUCCUACAUUUUUAAGUGCACAAUACGGUAUAGUUAACUACAGGAUUUUUGUCUUACAGGCGAUUACCAGAAUUUAUUCAUCUUGCAUGAUUGAAACUUUAUACUAGUGGAAUGACAGACUCCCCACUUCACCCUCCCCCCAAUCCUUGGUAACCACCACUCUAUUCUCAGCUUCUAUGAACCUGUUUUAAACACAUCAUGUAAGUUGGAAUCACAGGUACGUGUGUUCCUCUGUGACUGGCUUACUUCACUUAGCAUAAGGUCCUCUAGGUUUAGCCAUGUCGCAAACAGCAGGAUUUCCUUUUCAAAGACUGAGUAAUAUUACACUUUAUGUAUAUGCCACAUUUUCUUUUUCCAUUCAUUUGGGUUAUUUCAGCAUAUUGGCUGCUGUGAAUAGAAUAAUGUUGCUGGGUACAUGGGAAUGCAAAUAAAGAGAGCAGAGAGAAGCAGUUCUUAAUCUUCUCAGGUCAAGGGGAAGGUCCUGUGGGAGAAACGACGGGGGAAGAUGCUCCUUCCAAGAUUCAGAGGUGCCAGCCCCCCCCCCCCAAUUUAAGGAACAUAUAUAAUUCAGUAGAAGAAAAAGGACAGAACAACAUGUAAACCAAGCAGAUGCAUGUAAAUGCAAAUUCUCAGGCCCCAUCACAAACCUACUAAACCAGAAUCUGAAAUUUAACAAGAUCCCCAGGUGACUUCUUAGCACAUGAAAUAUUAAGAAGCACUGAUUUAAAAGAAAAACAGCACUGAUUUAACAGAGAGAGGGGAAAAAAGAGAGAAGGGCUAGUGCAGCCAAUAGAGAAAAAAGAUUGAUAACAGUGGAAACCAGAUACAGACAUGGGGGGGGGGGGCUUGUUGCACUAUUUUCUACUUUUGUGUUUAUUUGAAAAUGUUUCAAGUAAAAACAAAAAACAAUGCACCGAUGGACUGACAGAGGAAACUGUGGUUGGAGACAGCAGUGGCCGCUGCAGGAGAGAAGUUCCAGCUCUGUGUCACAAAUGCAAAUAGCCACAGCAGCCCCGGGCACUGGAACAUCACCAGGUGAUAUGUCCGGGGGCUGAUACCAGGAGUGGCUACGGCCUCAAAGAACAGGGCGCACCCAGGCCUCAUAGGAUGGAUGAAAAAGACGGACACCGGCCACCUCCUGAUGAGAUUUCAGCACUCCUCAGACACGGAGAACAUUUCAAAGGCUUCAGAGAGCAAAAACACGGAGCCUACUGCUGUUAGCCACGCACUGCAGGCACGGAGCCAGGCCUCUGUGUGAGCUUCCUGUGGCUGCCGUGACAAACCACCACCAACUCAGUGGUUUAAAACCACACAAGGGUCUUAGAGCUGGAGAUUAGAAGUCCGAAAUCAGUUUUACAAGGUAGAAAUCAAGGUGUCUGCCUGGACACAGACACAUUGCCCUCCUUUGAGCAGCCCUAGGGAAGAGCCUGUUUCCUCCCCCAGCGUCUAGAGCCUCCCUCCUCACAUCCCUUGGCUCUGGGACCCUUCCUUCAGCUUAAAAGCCAGCAGGUAGCAUCUUCUUCAGUGGCCACAUGGCCUUCUCCCUCUCUCUCUCUCUUUUUUCUUUUUAGGGCCACACCUGCAGCAUACAGAAAUUCCCAGGCUAGGGGUCGAAUCAGAGCUGCAGCUUCCCACCUGUGCCACAGCCACACUGGAUCCGAUGUGUAUCUGCAAACUAUACCGCAGCUAGUGACAACACCAGAUCCUCAACCCACUGAGUGAGGCCAGGGAUCAAAACUGCAUCCUCACGGACACUGCGUCGGGUUCCUAACCCGCUGAGCCACAAUGGGAACUCUACCUUCUCCCUCAUUUAGACAAAUCUCCUGCUGCCUCUCUCUUGUAAGGACCCUUGUAGUUACAUGUAGGGCUUGCCUGGAUAAUCCAGCAGUCACCCCAUCUCAAUAGCCUUCAUCACAUCUGAAAAGUCCCUUUUGCCACACAAGGUAACAUUCACAGGUUCCGGGGAAUAGAACCUGCAUAUUUGGGGAAAGGGUCAUUACUCAGCCUGUCAGUUUUCAAGUUCUGAGGAAAAGUGAAUUACAGUCUGUUAAGGAGUUGCUGGAGAUGGGAUUACGAUGGCGGAAUAGAAGGACUGGAGCUCAACUUCUCUCCUAAAAACAACAAAAUUUACAACUAAAUGCUGAGCAAUCUUCAACCGAAAGGACCGGAAACCUUCAAAAAGAUAUCCUACUCCAGAAGACAAAGAGGAGGUCAGAGCGAGAGGUAGGAGGGGUGAUUUCACGGUAUAAACAACCCCAUACCUCCCAGGUGGGAAGUCCCACAGACUGGAAAGUAACUGGUUCACAGAGACUCACCUACAGGAGUGAGAGUUCUGAGCCCCACAUCAAACUGCCACGUGUGGGGAUCUGGCACUGGGAGAAAGAGCCCCCGGAGCAUCUGGCAUUGAAGGUCAGUGGGGCUUGUGCGCAGGAGCUCCACAGGACAGGGGGAAAUGGAGACCCCAUUCUUAAAAGGCACACACAGACUUUCACGUGCACUGGGUGCCAAGGCAAAGCAGAGGCUCCAUAGGAACCUGGGUCAAACCUGACUGCAGUUCUUGGAGGACCUCCUGGGAAAACAAGGGGAAUGUGGCUUGUUGAGGGGGAAGGACAUUGGAAGCAAAGCUCUCAGGAAUAUUCAGCAGCUUGCCUUUCUUUGGAGGUGGCCAUUUUGGGAAAAUCUGGCCCCACCUGUCAGCGCUGAGAAGCCCCAAGGCAAACAACAAUCCAGGUGGGAUCACAGCCCCACCCCUCAGUAAACAGGCUACCUAAAGACCCCUCAGGCACACAGCUGCUUCUAAUCCCAUCCAGAGACUAAGCCCCACCCACCAGAGGGAUUAGAAUCAGCUCCACCUACCAGUGGGCAGGCAUCAGUCCCUCCCAUCAGGAAGCCUACAGCAAGCCCCCAUACCGACCUCAGCCACAAGGGGGGCAGACAGCAGAAGUAAGAGAGGCUACAUCUCUAUUAUCUGUAAAAAGUCACCACACCAAAAACCUAUAAAAAUGAAAAGACAGAGAACUAUAACUCAGAUGAGGGUGAAAGAAAAAACCCCAGAAAAUCAGCUAAGUGAUCAGAAGAUUCUCAGCCUCCAGGAAAAAGACUUUAGACUGUUGAUGCUGAAGAUGAUGCAAGACAUUGGAAAUAAACUGGAGGCAAAGAUGGAUAACUUACAGGAAACACAGAGCAAAGAGAUACAAGAUAUAAAACUUAAAUAAGAAGAGAUGAAAAAUACAAUAACUGAAAUAAAAAGUGAAUUUACCCCCAAGUGCUAUACAAAGAGUGGAAAGCAAAAUGAAGAUAUCUGAUGAUUCCCAAGAACCCAGAAUUUUACCACUCCGCCCCAAAAUUAAAAAUACAGUGUGGAUACAACAUAUUUAUUUACUCAUCCAUUGAUGGAUAUUUAUAGCUUCUACAACAAAAUACUUUAAAAAAUAUUUUCAACAACAGGAAGGCAAACAACCCAAUUUAAAAAUGCAUGCUUGAGAGUUCCUGUCAUGGCUCAGUGGAAACAAAUCUGACUAGUAUCCAUGAGGACGCAGGUUUGAUCCCUGGCUCACUCAGUGGGUUAAGGAUCUGGCACUGCCGUGAGCUGUGGUGUAGAUCGGCUCUGAUCUGGCAUUGCUUUGGCUGUGCUGUAGGCCAGCAGCUGGAGCUGCAAUUCAACCCCUAGCCUGGAAACCUCCAUAUGCUGAGGGUGCAGCCCUAAAAAAAAAAAAAAAAAAAAAAAA